GACGAACGCUGGCGGCGCGCCUAACACAUGCAAGUCGAACGAGCGAGAGAGAGCUUGCUUUCUCGAGCGAGUGGCGAACGGGUGAGUAACGCGUGAGGAACCUGCCUCAAAGAGGGGGACAACAGUUGGAAACGACUGCUAAUACCGCAUAAGCCCACGGGUCGGCAUCGACCAGAGGGAAAAGGAGCGAUCCGCUUUGAGAUGGCCUCGCGUCCGAUUAGCUAGUUGGUGAGGUAACGGCCCACCAAGGCGACGAUCGGUAGCCGGACUGAGAGGUUGAACGGCCACAUUGGGACUGAGACACGGCCCAGACUCCUACGGGAGGCAGCAGUGGGGAAUAUUGCACAAUGGGGGAAACCCUGAUGCAGCGACGCCGCGUGGAGGAAGAAGGUCUUCGGAUUGUAAACUCCUGUUGUUGGGGAAGAUAAUGACGGUAC
rnacentral:rRNA from 1 species